GCCGAGUGCAGGAGAGGUAAGGUGUGCGUGAGAGAGAGAGAGAGAGAGACUGAAGGUAUAGAAAAAUCUUGUGAAGGACAUGUAUAGAUUAAAGUUAGGUGCCUCGGAGAUUCCAAAUCCUGCAGACGUGCAAAAAAGGAGGGGAGAUGAAGGUGGAGGGAUGCAGGAGUUUGAGCUGAUGUGCCACCUGCAGGCUCGGUUGACCGCCUCUUCCUCUCUUCCAAAGCUACUGAACAGAGAGAUGCUGCAGCUCCUCAUCUCAUCUCAUCUCACACACUGACCACAGUCUAAGUGGCCGAUGUGCACAGCUGAGCUGCUGUCUAACAGGAUUUAAUUAGAGGUCAAUUGAUCAAAUGGUGGAGAAGUGAACAACAUUACAGUAGCCUGAGCUUUUGGAAGUUUCAAGUGAUGUCAAGAAUGUUAUUUUGUUCUAAACCUAUAAUAAUAAUAGUUGACUUUAUUUGCAUGCAGAGGCUCUUUCAUGCAUUUUGCAGUGGUGACGUCCAAAGACAAACAUUUUAAAAGGCUGCAUUUAUCA